GUUCGCAAUAGAGGCACGACGCGCACCAUGCGCAACCUUGUUUGCGGAACAAAAACAUGAUUUUUGAAAUCGCGUCAACAACAUGCGCUCUCGGGUUUGCACUGAUGGCGUUUUAAGAGGUCAUGACAAAACAUUCGAAAAGUGUGUUUUCUUUACGGCACACAAAAAUCUUCACUUCAAACUGAAACCAAUAUGGCAUUUUCAGAAAUCAACCUGUGAAAUCUUGAUGUUUGGGAUAUCUUGAAACACAAUAUGAAAACAGUGAAAUAUAAUUAGAGGGUAAGAAAGCAAAAAGCAUUUUUAUGUCAUAAAUAUUUACUGUUUUACUAACAGGUCAAGGCCCGAGUGGCUUAAGCUGUCCAGUGGAGAAUUAACUGCCUAGGAUUAAUAUAAUAUAGGAAUACGCUGUUUUUUUUUAAAUCUUUAAGCACACCAAGCUUAUUGAUGAUAUCGCAAUUCGUAUCAAAAAGCUACAAGUAAAGAUAUACAAUGUGAAAUAAUAAAAUGGAAAAUAAAUAGUAUAUCAUGAUUAUAUACAAUGAAUAAAAUUUGAGAAAGACUCGAAUAUAGAACACUAUACACUAUUGCACAUUAAUUCAAAUGAUAAAUCUACUUUCUAACAUCCUUGUUUUGCAGUCAAUGUUUAAGAAAAAAAGAUCAUGGAUUAACCUUUGGUAUUCUAAACUAUAUAUCAGUACAAGUGUGACGG